UUUUGCACCAGUGUCCCUCUCCACACCCAAGCACAGACUCGGGGAGGCCUCUCUGCCCCCCAGGAGAGCCCCUGCUCCUGGGGCUGCUGCCGGCUGCCGUGAGGAAGCAGCCCCAGGUGCUGCCGAGGGGAGCCCUGAGGGGAGCGGCCCUCGGGAACGUGCUGAGGGUGGCUGCGGAGGGAGAGAUGAGGUUGGGAUCGGAGAGAUGAACUGAAGGCAGCAGCCACGAGCAGGCCCACAGGCACAGCGUGGAGGCCCAGAGGUGGCCAGCAAGAGGUGGCCACCACAAGGGAAAAGCAGCUUUCCAGGAGCAGCCAUGAGAACACAGAGACUUCCCUGGGUGGGCCGGGACUCAGGGGAUGAGCACCAGAAGCUGGAAGGGGAUGCAGUGGGACAGAGGACCCCAGCUGACUGAAGGGAUAUCCCAUACCACGAGAUGUUGUACUCUGCCAUAAAACUGGAGGAAGGGAGGAGGAAGGAAGGAUGCUUGGAGCUGUGGCAGUGUCUUUCCAGAUAAACACACAGAGAAGGCCCUGGGGCAUUCCACUGUAAUCCAUAGCUGCAGUCAGAGCUGGCCAGCCCCAGACACCAGUGA